GUGGGGAAUCUUGCGCAAUGGGCGAAAGCCUGACGCAGCCAUGCCGCGUGAAUGAUGAAGGUCUUAGGAUUGUAAAAUUCUUUCACCGGGGACGAUAAUGACGGUACCCGGAGAAGAAGCUCCGGCUAACUUCGUGCCAGCAGCCGCGGUAAUACGAAGGGGGAUAGCGUUGCUCGGAUUUACUGGGCGUAAAGGGCGCGUAGGCGGACGGCUUAGUCAGAGGUGAACGCCCAGGGCUCAACCUUGCAAUUGCCUUUGAUACUGGCUGUCUUGAGUUUGGGAGAGGUGAGUGGAACUCCGAGUGUAGAGGUGAAAUUCGUAGAGAUUCGGAAGAACACCAGUGGCGAAGGCGACUCACUGGCCCAAUACUGACGCUGAGGCGCGAAAGCGUGGGGAGCAAACAGGAUUAGAAACCCUGGUAGUCC
rnacentral:rRNA from 1 species